UUUCGAUUGUUUGGGCAUCCUUAAUAUUGUUCUGGUUAGGAAUUUCUCUUUGCUGGUUUUGUAAAUCCACUGAGAGAAUUGAAGCGAUGAAGGUGCAUCUAGCUCCAAAGAAACAAAACAUCAUUGUUCAGGUAUGAAAUGAA